rnacentral:rRNA from 1 species
AAUAUUGCGCAAUGGAGGAAACUCUGACGCAGCGACGUCGCGUGAGCGAUGAAGGUCUUCGUGUCGGUAAGCCCGGUCCUUGGGGAAGAAGAUCGACAGAUUUGACGGUACCCGAGGAGGAAGCCCCGUCUAACUACGUGCCCGCAGCCGCGGUAAUACGUAGGGGGCGAGCGUUAUCCGGAAUUAUUGGGCGUAAAGGGUGCGUAGGCGGCCUUUUAAGUCAGAUGUGAAAGACUACGGCUUAACCGUAGUGAGCAUUUGAAACUAAAAGGCUUGAGUGCAGGAGAGGAGAGUGGAAUUCCUAGUGUAGCGGUGAAAUGCGUAGAUAUUAGGAGGAACACCAGUGGCGAAGGCGACUCUCUGGACUGCAACUGACGCUGAGGCACGAAAGCGUGGGGAGCGAACA